rnacentral:tRNA from 1 species
GGUUGUGGUUCAGUGGUAAAGCACUUGCCUUGCAUGCAUGAGACACUGGGUUCAAUCCUCAGCACCA